UACGGAGGGUGCAAGCGUUAUCCGGAUUCACUGGGUUUAAAGGGCGCGUAGGCGGCGCAAUAAGUCACUUGUGAAAUCUCCGGGCUUAACUCGGAGCGGCCAAGUGAUACUGUUGUGCUAGAGUGCAGAAAGGGCAAUCGGAAUUCUCGGUGUAGCGGUGAAAUGCGUAGAUAUCGAGAGGAACACCUGAGGCGAAGGCGGGUUGCUAGGCUGACACUGACGCUGAGGCGCGAAAGCGUGGGGAGCAAACAGG
rnacentral:rRNA from 1 species